ACUCCUACGGGAGGCAGCAGUGGGGAAUUUUGGACAAUGGGCGAAAGCCUGAUCCAGCAAUGCCGCGUGAGUGAAGAAGGCCUUCGGGUUGUAAAGCUCUUUUGUCAGGGAAGAAACGGUGAGAGCUAAUAUCUUUUGCUAAUGACGGUACCUGAAGAAUAAGCACCGGCUAACUACGUGCCAGCAGCCGCGGUAAUACGUAGGGUGCAAGCGUUAAUCGGAAUUACUGGGCGUAAAGCGUGCGCAGGCGGUUUUGUAAGUCUGAUGUGAAAUCCCCGGGCUCAACCUGGGAAUUGCAUUGGAGACUGCAAGGCUAGAAUCUGGCAGAGGGGGGUAGAAUUCCACGUGUAGCAGUGAAAUGCGUAGAUAUGUGGAGGAACACCGAUGGCGAAGGCAGCCCCCUGGGUCAAGAUUGACGCUCAUGCACGAAAGCGUGGGGAGCAAACAGGAUUAGAUACCCGAGUAGUCCC
rnacentral:rRNA from 1 species